rnacentral:sRNA from 1 species
GGGCCUCCUGGUCCCCCUGGGCCCCCAGCCCCUGUUGGGCCACCCCAUGCCCGGAUCUCCCAGCAUGGAGACCCAUUGCUAUCCAACACCUUCACUGAGACCAACAACCACUGGCCCCAGGGACCCACUGGGCCUCCAGGCCCUCCAGGGCCCAUGGGUCCCCCUGGGCCUCCUGGCCCCACAGGUGUCCCUGGGAGUCCUGGACACAUAGGACCCCCAGGCCCCACUGGACCCAAAGGAAUCUCUGGCCACCCAGGAGAGAAGGGCGAGAGAGGACUGCGUGGGGAGCCUGGCCCCCAAGGCUCUGCUGGGCAGCGGGGGGAACCUGGCCCUAAGGGAGACCCUGGUGAGAAGAGCCACUGGGGGGAGGGGUUGCACCAACUACGCGAGGCUUUGAAGAUUUUAGCUGAGAGGGUUUUAAUCUUGGAAACAAUGAUUGGGCUCUAUGGCUCCUAGCUUACAGAGCUUCCUGCAGCAGCAGGCUCAGCUGGAGCUCCUGGCCAGACGGGUCACCCUCCUGGAAGCCAUCAUCUGGCCAGGUAAUGGCAGGGCGGGCAGGCAGGGGCAGCCUCUUCCAGGAAGGGCCUGGAAAAGGCCUGGGCAUGCAGAAGGUGCCUUCCGAUGCUUGGCCCAGGCCAGCGGACACUCGUUCUUCAUCCAGCCAGCCAGCCAGCAAAUGGUGCCUGGCAGAGAGAAGGCUCUGGUCACUCGAGUGAAUGAGCACCUGCUCUGUGCCAGGCACCUUGUUGGGACAGGCUCCACAAGAUAAGACAGACAUAGUCCUGCCCUU